CAUCCUCUGCAACCCGCUUCGGUUGCAGCGCGGAAGAGAGAAGGGAGCGGGGAAGGAAGAAAAGCUGCCGAGUUGCUUGGAGGAGACGCCGGAGCGUCAGCGGCGGGAUGCUUCGGGCGCGCGGACGCUGACAUUUUGCCACACGCACCGCAGUGGCCCGAGUAGGACGGGAUUUCUGCUAAACCGGUGUUACCGAGGAGGACCUCGCCCGCUCGGGUUGUGGCGCACCGUCUGUCAUGUGUGAUGGGAUCGACGCCUAUGGCUGUUUGACUGACAGGACGGCGAGCUCCCUCCUCCCCUUUCGUCCCGCCGACUGACCACCCAGGACCGAGCCCCCCCUGGGAAAAAAAAAAUGAAGGCAGCCCACACCGCACCGCACCACAGGCAACCCGGAUUAUUUUGACGUCCUAGUGAAGCUGCAUAUCAUGACGGCCAAUGAAGAACACUCGGACGAACCUAUCGGGGAGUGGUGCGGUCCUUAACUCCGUCUCCGCAGCCAGACCCACUUGAACUGCCUUUUCAGGAGCGUGAGCAUGGAGGGCCCGCGAUGGGCGACGUUACCGCUGGUCCUGGCGGCGGCGUGCUGGCUGCUCCCGUCCUCCGCGCGGUCCAUGUUGUGCCCCAAGCGCUGCACGUGUCAGAACCUGCUGCCGUCCUACACGGUUCUGUGCGCCAAGACGGGUCUGCUCUUCGUGCCGCCCAACAUCGACAGGCAGACGGCCGAGCUGCGUCUCAUGGACAACUUCAUCACCACGCUGAGGCAGCGAGACUUCGCUAACAUGUCCAGCCUGAUCCACCUGACGCUGAGCCGGAACACCAUCAGUCAGAUCCGGCCGUUCGCCUUCGCCGACCUCCAGGAUCUGCACGCGCUCCACCUGGACGCCAACCGUCUGACCACGCUGGACGACAGCCACUUUCAGGGCCUGGUCAACCUGCGUCACCUCAUCCUGGCCAACAACCAGCUGCACCGCAUUUCCCAGGGAGCCUUCCAGGACUUUCUGGAGACCCUGGAGGACCUGGACCUGAGCUACAACAACCUGGCGGAGGUCCCGUGGGAGACCGUCUCCCUGCUGGUGAGCGUCAACACGCUCAGCCUGGACCACAACUUGAUCGAGAGCGUUCCCGAGGGAAUCUUCUCCAAUCUGCACAAGCUAGCCAGGCUGGACAUGACGUCCAACAAACUGAAGAAGAUCCCGCCCGACCCGCUCUUCCUGCGCAUCCCGGUGUACGCCAAGAUGAAGGGCUCGCCGCUGAGCGCCUUGGUUCUGAGCUUCGGCGGCAAUCCGCUACACUGCAAUUGCGAGUUGGUGUGGUUACGCCGGCUGACGCGCGAGGACGACCUGGAGACGUGCGCCUCUCCGAGGGACCUUGCCGGGAAGUACUUCUGGACCAUCAGAGAGGAGGAGUUUGUGUGCGAGCCGCCGAUGAUCACCCGCCACACGUCCAAGAUGUUCGUGAUGGAGGGCCAGGAGGUGAGCCUGCGCUGCAAGUCCAUGGGCGACCCGGAACCCUCCACGCACUGGGUCGGCCCCGACGGGAAGCUGAUGGGCAACACUUCGCGCACCAUCUGCUACGAAAACGGCUCGCUGGACAUCCUGAAGGCUUCCGUCAAGGAUUCGGGCAAGUUCACGUGCAUCGCCUCCAACGCGGCCGGUGAGGCCACGGCGCCGGUGGAGCUGGUGGUCAAUCCCUCGCCGCGUUCGGAUCCCGGGCCGCCGGAGCGGGCCGACCCGGGGCCCUCGGACGUGCCCACCUCCAUCCAGUCCAACGCCGGCGGGGGUCAAGCGCGCGUGGGCCAGCGGCAGGUCAGCGUAUCCCAACUGACGGCCAGCGGCGCCCUGGUCACGUGGCCCGCUCAGAACCACGUCCCUGGCGUACGCGCCUACCAGAUCCAGUACAACAGCUCUGCCGACGAUGUCCUCAUAUACAGGAUGAUCCCGGCCGUUCGCAAGUACUUCCAGCUGGGCGACCUGGCGUCGUCGCGCGACUACGACUUGUGCGUCCUGGCCGUCUACGACGACGGUCUCACCGCCUUGACGGGAACCAAGAUGGUAGGAUGCGUGGCCUUCACCACAGAACCCGAGUACGGACGAUGUCACUCCAUCCGAGACCAGUUUUUGGGAGGCACCAUGAUCCUGAUCCUGGGCGGCAUCAUCGUGGCAUCCGUUUUGGUCUUCAUCUUCAUUCUGCUGAUGAAAUAUAAGCUGCACAAUAACCAGGACCACAAACACGACGCCGCCCGACACGCUCAUGUCUGCUCGCAGACCAACGGGGGCGGAGCCAACAACCCGCCGCCUUUGGGACAAGGCACUCACAAAGGACGCCGGCUGUCAUCGUCGACAGCGGACGGGCCGUCUCCCGCCGCCACCGACGUCCGCGGAACUCCUGUGGAUUUGGACGGCGCCCGCUACGGCGAUGCCGCCACCGCCGCCUCGCAAUAACCAAUAGAAGCAAGGGUCGAGCUAAGCCAGUACGCCGUGCCCCCUUGCCGCUCACACGCAGACUUUUUUUCUUUUCAUUUGACACUGGCGCCCGGAGCCGAGACGGGCGGGGCAGCGACAAGCGACGCCCCGCGCCGGUGGUGCCGCCGGCUACGGAAAGUCUCACCGAACUCAUGAGGCCAGCUACCGACGAGGACUUUUGUAGACGGCGUGGGCCGGGCCAAAGUACUCGGGCAAACGGACGGACACGACGUCCCUGAAAGAACGUUCUUUCAAGACUUUCCGUGAAGAAGAUUGAAAUAGGAAUACUCAUUCCGUCAGGGAGCGGCUCUCCCAGUGUCUGUCUUGGUUUCACUUUUAAGCACUUUUGUCGCAGGGGCGUUUGAAUGAAGUUUUCCACAGGACGUGACCAGCGCCCGCCACGAGUCGGUUCUGCUCUCGCUUCAUCGAUACGCCGCACUUUUGAGUCGAGUCACACUUUUGCGUUCUGAGAAAAGUCAACGUGGGAUUUGUAAAGAAAGAAAUAAAAAAUAUUUUUAUUGAAAAACUUGUCGGCACAUGCACAAACACGCUCUCCUUUAUUGGUCGGAUGACUGUCGGCGGUCGUCGUCGUUGGCAGGCGAGACCAUGGCCUUGACCCUGACCCGGGUCUCUUCCCUGGCCUUGGACUUUGAGUUGGCUUCGGUGACGUCCUUGAGGCCCAGGAGACCGCGGAAGCCGUUCCUGAUCUCUGCCGUGCGGACCCCGUAGAUGACGGGGUUGGCGGCGGCCGGGACCAGGAUGUAGAGGAGCCCCAUGGCGCUGUUGGCGUCGGUGGGGAUGGACAGACUUAGGUUGUGCGACAGGAAGCUGACGGUGCCCACCAGGUAGAAGACCAUCAUCACCAUCAGGUGGGUACCGCAGGUGUGAAAAGCCUUACGUCUCUCGUUCCCGUGGGCCGCCGCCCGGACCGCGGCGCCCAAGAUCUGAGUUGACAGACAAGCAAACAUAAGAUUUCAACUCGAUGUGUCGCGCACUUCUGGCUGGCAAAAGAGCACGUGCAACGUUUAAAGAGCGACGGCUUUAGCGGCGCUUUUCUACGAGCGCGCUCCAAAACCUGUCGGGUGUCUUUCCCCAGGUAAAUGUUUAGCGAGGCCAGAAAUUCAUAGGAUUCCUCCCUCGGCCGUCGUUUCGCGGUUCAGGCCGAGAUACAGAGAAGGUUGCUGCACUUUUUUCAAGCUUCAAACGCAAAGGGUUCAGUCGUCCGGAAGUGAAAUGUUUCCAAAGAUUACCUUCAAGUAGGAGAAUACGAUGAGCGGGAUGUCCACGCCCACGAAGCAGGCGAUGACGGCCACGCCGGCGGCGGCGCUGCGUCGGGUGUCACCGCAGGCCAGGCUAACCAGCGCCAUGUGAUCGCAGUAACAGUGGCGGAUGACGCGGGAGGCGCAGAAGCGCAGCGAGCCCGCCAGGCCCACCAACGUGCCCAUGACGGCGCCGCUGCGGGCUGCCGUGAAAAGGGCCAGCGCCAGCAGCGCCCGCCGGCCCACCAGCCGCUCGUAGCACAGCGGCCGGCAGAUGGCCACGUAGCGGUCGAGCGCCAUGGCCAGCAGCACGGUGGACUGCACCGACGACAGGAAGUGGGUGGCGAACAUCUGCGCCAGGCAGCCGGCCAGCGACACGCCGUUCCGUUCCGCCAGCAGAACCGCCAGCGCGCUGGGGACGAUGGCUCCCAAGGAUAGCAGGUCCACCAGGCAAAGGGCGCAGAUCAAAAGGUACCUGUCAGAAAGUGGGGUGAUACACUAGGCUGGACUCAAAUACACGAGACGAGUGAGAGUGGCAUUUCCCAAUGAAUGGUUUCUUCUUAUUUAUUGUCAUCAUCAUCGGUAUCAUUGUCAGUUGCAAAAUGUGAUAUGAUUAACCCGAACAAAGACAAGGGCUGACGAGCAGACAUAGAGUUUUGAGAGGGGCCACGAGGCGCAGUGCCCCCUUGUGGCCAAAAAAUGUCAUUGCAAUUUACUUUACCUAUACAGGUAGUCCCCAGGUUACGAACGAUUCCGUUCCUAUGCUAUACGUAACCCGAAUUUCCGCU